UGAACAGUGGGAGUAUUCAGACCCCCUUAAAUUCUAUUUGCAGCCAUUUUCCUCUAAUGUACACACAACACCCCAUAUAUUGACAGAAAACACAGAAUUGUUGACAUUUUUGCACAUUUAUUUGAAAAGAAAAACUGAAGUAUCACAUGGUCAUAAGUAUUCAGACCCUUUGCUCAGUGUUUAGUAGAAGCACCCUUUUGAUCUAAUACAGCCAUGAGUCUUUUUGGGAAAGAUGAAAAGUUUUUCACACCUGGGUUAAGGGAUCCCCUGCCAUUCCUCCUUUAAGAUCUGCUCCAGUUCUGUCAGGUUGAAUAGUAAACGUUAGUGGACAGCAGGGAUGGAAAUUAGCACCUGCCAGCAGCCAAAUGCAGGUAAACUUGCUUCACCUACCGGCCACCGUGGCGGGUAAAUAAAAAUAGCAUACUGUUUUACCCGAACGGUGGACUCUUUUAGAGGAGGCACACCUUCAAAAAAAAAAAAAAAUGUGGCGUUACAUUGCAGGCGUUAAGAGGUCUGCAGAGAAAACAUCUCAGAAGGACCCAGUGGACAAAGAGGCGAAGAUCAAAAAACUUUUUUUUUUUUUAAGAACGAUGGAGAAAAGCGGACAACGGGGAGUCCCGCGAUUGGUUAGUUUACGUCGAGACAAGUCUGACAAUGUUCUGCUCAGUAUGUCGUCAACAAGCUUUAGAAGAUGCCAAAACUAAUAGUUUCAUUGUUGGGACUAAAAAUCUAAAACUGGAAGCCAUAAAAGACCAUGAAUCAUCCAAAUGCCAUAUCCAGGUAAAAAAGAGAGCACAGCCAAAUUCCUCUCCAUUAUGUCUGACGGGUCUACUGACUGCCGUGAUUGAACAGGAAAUGCUGUAUACACGCUUGUGCAACCGAGGCAAGGUGGAGGUCCACUUUGUAGAUAUACAGGAUGUGGAGAAAGCAGACUGUGAGUACAUAGCUCAGGCAAUAGAAAACUUGAUGAGGGAGGUCUGUGGAGAAGAGUGGCAGGCCAAGUUGGUGGCAUGUGCAACUGAUGGUGCGUCAGUGAUGACAGGGACACGUAAAGUAGUGAGCAGGCUGAGAGGAAGUGACAUGCACGUCCUGGGUAUUCACUGUAUGGCACAGCGCUUGGAACUAGCUUUCUAGGAUGCCAUUAAGAGCUGCUCUAUGGCUAAACAGAUUGAAGAUGUGCUGGCAGUGCUGCAUACAUUCUACUGUAAAUGUGCUCUCAACAGGGCAAACCUACAGCACACCUUCAAGAUUCUGGGCCAGAAUCCCCUUGUACCAACUAGGGUCGGAGGCACCAGAUUCAGUCACCAGAUGCUGAAGGGGUGAAUGCAGUGCAGAAGAGCAAAGCACGGUACUACUUCCAAACCUGCCGGCAUCCACCAUUUUUCAUGUUUUGCAACUUCAUGCAUGAUUGCAUGAAAAACAGACCUGGGCCCAAGCUCAAAGCCUGUAUGAAGCAGCACGAGAAUGAUGACAGCAUCCUAAACCGUGUCAUGAGGGCCAACUUUGAUCUGCUUGACAAACUCUGCCAGACUCUGUCACUUCACUGACAUCACCAUAGUGAUUCUCCAAGCUACGAAAAUUUGGUGAAUCAGAAGUGGUGGAAUUAACUACACACUUCCAGGGCAUCCUGAAAUCCUCGGGGGUAGCUGUUGAGCUCAUCUCAGAUCAGUGGACCAUUCUCAAGACCAGACUGUAUGAGAUGGUAGAGAGUCUCCACAUGAAGACAUGGCCAGAAAUCAACAAGUCUUUGCAACCGCAGUGCCCCGACAUCCUCAGCCUGAUUGACCUCAUUCUCACCGUUCCAGCCUCGACUGCAGACUGUGAAAGAGGCUUCAAUCAAAUGAAGUUAGUGAACUACUGACUGUUCAGCUAUCCAGUCCUUUUAUUGAGAAUUAUGACCCCACCCCUGCUAUCCAGCUCUGGCAACAGGCUAGCAUCCAGCCUAGAAGGCCACAGUUCAUGGAGGGGAAGAAGAACGCUCAGGAAAGCACCUCUGAAACUUCAGAAUCUGAUUCUGAUGAGCAGGAGUAAAUUGGACUGGGAGUGGGGAGGAUGGGUGGAGGAAUGUUAGUUUUUUGUUUAAUCUGCCCUACUCAUUUAAUGAAUGUAUAUCGGUUCAUGGUUUGUGUGUGUAUGAGAAAAAGAGAAAAUAUCAGUAUUUCACUCCCUUAGCACCCCCAUUACACACCUAGUUAAUUUAUCGAUAAAGCAAUCAAUUUUCCCAGCUGCCUGGAAAAAUGCAGUGUUGGUUCUGAUUUUCAAGACAGGGGAACCUACUGAUGUAGCUAACUAUAUAGACCUAUCAGCACUUUGUCGGUGGCAUCAAAGUUUGCAGAAAAAGUGGUAACUGAGCAGUUAACUGACUUUUUAAAUUCUGGACAAAUACUUCAUCCAAUGCAAUUUGGUUUUAGGAAAAAUUACUCGACCGAAAUGGCUACUUGCUAUUUUGUUGAAAAAAUCAAAUCAAAACUAGAUAGUGGGAGUGCUGUAGGAGCAGUUUUUCUGGAUUUAAAAAAAGCUUUCCAUAAUGUUCUUCUUUCUAAGUUGUCAAACUUAAAUUUUUCUGAUGAUGCUAUGAAAAGGAUGGAGUCAUAUCUCACCAUGACAAGACAAAGCACCAGAGUUGGGAAUAAAAUGUCAUCAUUCAGUAGCUGUUCUGUUGGCAUCCCGCAAGGCUCAGUCUUAGGCCCUUUGUUAUUCAGUCUAUAUGUUAACGAUCUACCACUAGCAUGUCCCCAAGUUGACACCCAAAUGUAUGCAGAUGACACAGUCAUUUUUGCACAUGGAAGAGACCGAUAUGAAGUGGCAACCAAAUUAACAGCAGCAAUGGCAAAAAUUGCUACCUGGCUUUCUGAGUCUUGCAUGACGUUAAACGUCAGUAAAACUGCGUGUAUGUAUUUUUAUAUAAGGAAAAAUUAAAAUCAGCCAGAUCUCGUUGUAAAAGGGGGGGGAAAUCCAGAUUGUGUCACAUUUUAAAUACCUGGGAGUUACUCUUGAUUCACAGUUGUCUUUUACGAAACAUAUAAAGCAGGUUUGUAAUACUGUUAAAUUUAAUUUGAGAAAUUUUAGACACAUUCGUAAUCAGUUACCUCUAGAUGCUGCCAAAUUGUAUAUGCACUCAAUGAUUUUCUCACAUUUUACAUACUGCAUCACAAGUUGGUCGCAAACCGGAAAAACAAUACUUGCUCCACUACAAACGCUAUAUAAACAAACUCUCAAAGUAUUAGAUAAAAAGCCAUCAGGUUAUCACUACUGCAAUAUCAUCCAAAAGCACAAGCUCUUGACUUUUGACAACUUUAUGUGCUUUACCAAUGUUUGUUUAGUUUACAGAGUAAUUAAUAAUCUGGCUGCGCCCCAAUUAAAGGAGUUCAUAUUAUUGCUCUCAGAUAGUUGGAGAACUACCAGGGCAAACAGUAGAGGUCACGGUGCCGUACAGCACAGACGUACUGAGUUUGGCAGAUCCGCCUUCUCUAUCAGAGCCUCUUAGUACUGGAAUUCAGUCCCAAAUGAGAUUAGAGACAUCAGUUCAUUUACUUGUUUUAAAUAUAAAAUAAAAUCAUGGCUAAAAUCGAUACAGUCAUGUACCCAUUAAUCAUAAAUAAAAAAUAAAAAAACUCAUUUUCUGUCGUAUCCUAACAUUGUAUUGUUGAGUCUAUUAAUACUGCAUUUUAUUUUGUUCUGUUGUUUUGUUUUAUCGGGUUUUUAAGAAUGUGAAACUUUGUUGUCUGAAAGGCUAUUUGCGUGAUGACGUUUUAUGGUAUAUUUAUAUGUGAUUGUUAAUCGUAUGUUACCUCGUCCUGCCCAGGGACUACAGAUGAAAUUUAGCUUGUAGCUAAUUCUGGUAUGGCUGAGUGCCAUACACUGUCCCUGUUAAAUAAACAAAUAAAUAAAUCAGUAUUUCACUGAGACUUGAGAUUAAAUAAACUGCUUAAGUCUUGUAGAUCUUGUAGUAUUAAUUUUCACAUGCAGUUACACAUUGUCGGUUAAAAACAAGAAAGUGGCUGGUAAAAACAUUGAGUUGCUGGUAGAUUUUGAAAUCUACCAGACACAGUGGCCGGUGGAUAAAUAAGUUAUUUUCCAUCCCUUGUAGACAUCCAUUUUCAGGUCUAUCCAGAGAUGCUCAAUUGGGUUUAAAUCGGGGCUGAGUUGUUGUGAAGCCACUCCUUCGUUAUUUUAGCUGGGUGCUUAGGGUCAUUGUCUUGUUGGAAGGUGAUCCUUCUCUUGGUCUCAUCAGACCAGAGAAUCCUAUUUCUCACCAUCUUGGAGUCCUUCAGGUGUUUUUUUAGCAAACUCCAUGGGGGCUUUCAUUUGUUUUGUACGGAGUAGAGGCUACUGUCGGGCCACUCUACCAUUAAGCCCGACUGGUGGAGGGCUGCAGUGAUGGUUGACUUUCUACAACUCUCUCCCACCUCUCGACUGCAUCUCUGGCGCUCAGACACAGUGAUCUUUGGGUUCUUCUUUACCCCUCUCACCAAGGCUCUUCUCCCCCGAUAGCUCAGUUUGGCCGGACAGCCAGCUCUAGGAAUGGUUCUGGUCGUCCCAAACGUCUUCCAUUUAAAGAUUAUGGAGGCCACUGUGCUCUUAGGAACCUUAAGUGCAGCAGAAUUUUUUUGUAACAUUUGCCAGAUCUGUGCCUUGCCACAAAUCUGUCUCUGAGCUCUUCUGGCAGUUCCUUUGACUUCAUGAUUCUCAUUUGCUCUGAAGUGCACUGUGAAAUGUAAGGUCUUAUCUAGACAGGUGUGUGGCUUUCCUAAUCAAGUCAGCUGGACUCAAAUGAAGGAGUAGAACCAUCUCAAGGAUUAUGUGAAGAAAUGGAGAGCACCGGAGUUAAAUAUGAGUGUCACAGCAUAGGGUCUGAAUACUUAGGACCAUGUGAUAUUUCAGUUUUUCUUUUUUAAUAAAUGUGCAAAAAUGUCAACAAUUCUGUGUUUUUCUGUCAAUAUGGGAUGCUGUGUGUACAUUGAGGGAAAAAAAUGAAAUUAAAUGAUUUUAUCAAAUGGCUGCAAUAUCACAAAAGGUUAAAAAUUUAAGGGGGUCUGAAUACUUUCUGUACCCACUGUAUAUGAUCACACCAUUGUGAUUAAAGUAUUCACUGUGUCAUGUGUUU